ACACCAGUGGCGAAGGCGGCUGUCUGGUCUGUAACUGACGCUGAGGCUCGAAAGCAUGGGUAGCGAACAGGAUUAGAUACCCUGGUAGUCCAUGCCGUAAACGAUGAAUGCUAGGUGUUGGAGGGUUUCCGCCCUUCAGUGCCGCAGCUAACGCAUUAAGCAUUCCGCCUGGGGAGUACGACCGCAAGGUUGAAACUCAAAGGAAUUGACGGGGGCCCGCACAAGCGGUGGAGCAUGUGGUUUAAUUCGAAGCAACGCGAAGAACCUUACCAGGUCUUGACAUCUUUUGAUCACCUGAGAGAUCAGGUUUCCCCUUCGGGGGCAAAAUGACAGGUGGUGCAUGGUUGUCGUCAGCUCGUGUCGUGAGAUGUUGGGUUAAGUCCCGCAACGAGCGCAACCCUUAUGACUAGUUGCCAGCAUUUAGUUGGGCACUCUAGUAAGACUGCCGGUGACAAACCGGAGGAAGGUGGGGAUGACGUCAAAUCAUCAUGCCCCUUAUGACCUGGGCUACACACGUGCUACAAUGGAUGGUACAACGAGUUGCGAGACCGCGAGGUCAAGCUAAUCUCUUAAAGCCAUUCUCAGUUCGGACUGUAGGCUGCAACUCGCCUACACGAAGUCGGAAUCGCUAGUAAUCGCGGAUCAGCACGCCGCGGUGAAUACGUUCCCGGGCCUUGUACACACCGCCCGUCACACCAUGAGAGUUU
rnacentral:rRNA from 1 species